rnacentral:rRNA from 15 species
ACCUGGUUGAUCCUGCCAGUAGUCAUAUGCUUGUCUCAAAGAUUAAGCCAUGCAUGUCUUAGUAUAAGCUUCAAUUUUGUGAAACUGCAAAUGGCUCAUUAAAACAGUCACAAUGCAUUUGGCGAUCAAUUCUAAAUGGAUAUCUGUGGAAAUUCUAUAGUUAAUACAUGCACUAAAACUUAUCUUUGGGGAAAGGUUGUGGUCGUUAGUUACAGAACCAAUUCAAGCUAUGCUUGGACACUUGAAUGAUUCACAAUGACAAAUGAAUUACAUGGCAACAGCUGGUGAUAAUUCAUUCCAGUUUCUGACCUAUCAGCUUUCGACGGUAAGGUAUUGGCUUACCGUGGCAAUGACAGGUGACGGAGGCU